ACCGUAAAAUUUAUACUUACAUCAACAAACGCCCGGGUAUUACGAGCAUCAGCUUAAAACCCAAAGGACUUGACGGUGUCCCACCCAACUAUAGGAGCCUGUUCUAUAAUCGAUAACCCCCGAUAUACCCUACCCCCCCCUCGCCAAUCAGCCUGUAUACCUCCGUCGCAAACUUACCAUAUGAAUGCCAAUAGUAAGUUAAAUAGUUCAUAACAAACACGUCAGGUCAAGGUGCAGCUCAUGAUGGGGAAAGCAAUGGGCUACAAUUUCUAAAAUAGAACAUACGAAAUGCUGCAUGAAACACAGCCACGAAGGCGGAUUUAGUAGUAAAAAGCGAUCAUAGAGCCCUUUUUAAUAAGGCCCUGGGACGUGUACACACCGCCCGUCACCCUCUGCAGUCAAAANGUGCACNNCG
rnacentral:rRNA from 1 species